GAGAGCUACCGGAAGUCUUGGCCGCCGGCUGCCAGCGUCGGGCCUUAGGUAGCAGCCACCUGCCUACACUGCGAGUAAUGAAGACUCAACAGAACCCAAAGCAAGAUGAAGUUCCUUCUGUAUAUCAUCUUUGCUGUUAGCUGGAAUUUUAUUGUAACAAGUUAAUGAAAUGUGUGUGGUGGUUUAUGAGCCAGUGGUAACAGAAGAAUAGCAGGCAUGAAAGCACUGACAGAGUUGCUUCAACAAUAAACUACAUAAAUUUUGGAUACCGCAUAUGUUGGGUUGCCUUUCAGAUGUGAUACCAUAUGUGAAUUAUUGGGCUCCUAUGAUGAUCAACAAUGAAGAAAACUGCAUGUAACUAUCAGCAUGAAGAUAAAACUUAUUUUCUUUCUGAUAUUUUAAGGAAUUUGCCUCAAUCAUGUUAACCAUAGUCUGAUUACAUUUUUAAGGAAAAGUGCAGAGACGUGUACUCAUGCAAAAACAAAGCAGAAGAAAAUAAAGAUGCUGCAAAACAACUCUGAAGCUCUAUUAGAAUACAUGACUCCUGGUUAAACAGAAAAUCCUGUUCCAGUACUGUGAGUAAAAUGCAGUGCUUUAUACAAGUUAUUUCCUGUGUUUCUCCUCUGUGUUAUCCAUAUGGAACACCGAUCAACAUGGGGUGGCUUGAUGAAUUGGCACUUUUUAGAGGAACAUUACAGCUGUAUACAGAUAUGUUAAAAGACGCAAACUGAAGCUGGACAAGCUGAACUGGAGGCUUGUCAAACCAGUCAUGCCCACAAAAAGAUGUAAGAAUGCUAUGUGUCCAUGCAGAAGGCAGGGAUAUUUUUGUUCAUGGAGUAUUUUUCCCUGAUAUUAAAGUCAAUGAACCUCUUUUACUAUGAGGAUCUGACUGCCACUGCAGUCAGAAACCACGAAUGUCUGGGACAAGUACAUCUGAGAUUAUUUCUGCUGAAUCAGCUCUCUAUAAUAUAUCUAUUAAACCAGUACCCUGAACACAGAGACAUUUCACAAUACAGUGGAAACUGCACUGCAAAGUGUGCCUUCGAUUUCAGCAAAUUCUGAGCUCUUUUCCAAUAAUUGCUGUUACACAAAGAAUACAAAAAUUUUUGUGACAUGAACAGCAAAUUACUGUACUAUUAAAACCACCAGU
rnacentral:lncRNA from 7 species